rnacentral:rRNA from 1 species
CAUAAUAUCUGGAAUGAUUUAUGGUUUAAAUCUAUAUGGCCUCUGGAUUGGACUGCGGCCGAUCAGGCUGUUGGUGAGGUAAUGGCCCACCAAACCUAAAACCGGUACGGGCUCUGAGAGGAGAAGCCCGGAGAUGGGCACUGAGACAAGGGCCCAGGCCCUAUGGGGCGCAGCAGGCGCGAAAACUCUGCAAUAAGCGAAAGCUUGACAGGGUUAUUCUGAGUGAUUUCCGCUAAGGAAAUCUUUUGGCACCUCUAAAAAUGGUGCAGAAUAAGGGGUGGGCAAGCCUGGUGUCAGCCGCCGCGGUAAUACCAGCACCCCGAGUGGUCGGGACGAUUAUUGGGCCUAAAGCAUCCGUAGCCGGUUCUACAAGUCUUCCGUUAAAUCCACCUGCUUAACAGAUGGGCUGCGGAAGAUACUAUAGAGCUAGGAGGCGGGAGAGGCAAGCGGUACUCGAUGGGUAGGGGUAAAAUCCGUUGAUCCAUUGAAGACCACCAGUGGCGAAGGCGGCUUGCCAGAACGCGCUCGACGGUGAGGGAUGAAAGCUGGGGGAGCAAACCGGAUUAGAUACCCGGGUAGUCCCAGCUGUAAACGAUGCAGACUCGGUGAUGAGUUGGCUUAUUGCUAACUCAGUGCCGCAGGGAAGCCGUUAAGUUUGCCGCCUGGGGAGUACGGUCGCAAGACUGAAACUUAA